GGAGCAGGAGGCUGCAGGGCUCUGGAGGGAGGCUGUGGGGAGAUGGACUCCUGCCUUUUUUCCUGCCUUGUGUCCAGGGGAGGGGCCUUGAGGCCAGAGGCUGCCCACAGCCUGGUCCUGUGGGCGUGUGUCUUUUAAUUACAGAUGUAGCUCCAGCGACACUUCACUGCAAGGCGUGUGGGUGGGGAUGGAAUGUCAGAAGGAAAACAGGAGACAAGAAAACAGAGAUAGGACGGGCCAGAAAUAGUACAGGCCAGGGUGAGAUAGCAGCGGCCAGUGGUGGUGGAGGGAGAGGCUGGAGGAGGGUCUGUCGAAACCUCUCCAGAGAAUGCCUGUCCCAGGCUGCCCCUCCUUAUUCACCCCAAGCCCCGCAAGUUGAAACUCCAGGACCGGUGGCAUCUAGAUCGGGCUCCAGAGCUGGUUCACCAACUCCCUAAGCAACACCCUCCUCCUGAGUGGGGAGGGGUAGCCGAGCCUUUGCGACCUGAGUCACCCGCUUCCUGCUCCUGGUCUGGGCGACUCCAUGCACAGGCUGACACAGCUGGGGCCCCACCUGCCCUGCCAGCCUGUCCCGCUCCUCCCUCUUUCCACAAGCCAGGAGAGAUGCCUGCCCUGACAAGGCAUGCUUCCCACGGAGAGGCCAUCCCUCUCACGCGCACACACGGCUGGAGGCAGCCAUUUCUCCCUGACCUGUGGAGAGCCUUGGGAAGAGGAAGAAGGCAUAGUCUAAGCGGAGCCCCCUUUUCCCUGCAUCUAUGAAGAAACUGCGGCUGGAGCCAGGAGAGGGACUUCCCCAAGAUCACACAAGAAAAUUCCUGGCAGGGCUGGGACUUGAACCUUGGUCUUCUGCCAGCCAGUUCACCUCCCCCACCAAUGUCUUUAAGCGCUGGACUCCACCUGGCUGAGAACUGGGACAGGACUCAGCGGCCCCUGGCCUUGUACUUUCAUCCCAUCUUUCCCAGUCCCAUCCCACGGCCCCCAGGGAAUUUGAGAGUUGAGAUCCUUGAAUAUUUCAUCAGCACUUCAGCCUCCAGUGGAAGCAGCAGCCAACUUACAUCUCCUGGAGCAUUUAUGGCCCCAACAGAGAACCUGGAAGUAGCCAGGGGGAGGGGUGGGUGCAUGGGGGAGGGUGAAGCUUGGGCCAGGCUGCCAAUAAGGGUUGAUGGAGAAGAAGGCUGCCGGGUCCAAAGUGUGUGUGAGCUGGGGGAAAGGGGCUCCAAAGCCGGGAACAUUUCCGUGUUUGAGGAUACAGAUGUAUUUUAAAAUAAAUAAACAAAAUGGAGUUAUCAAAACAAUUAUACGCAAGGUUAAAGUCAUAUGACAGGGUUUUCUGACUUCA
rnacentral:lncRNA from 1 species